CAGUAGCCGCGGGAAUACGUAGGGUCCGAGCGUUGUCCGGAAUUAUUGGGCGUAAAGAGCUCGUAGGCGGUCUGUCGCGUCUGCCGUGAAAUCCUCAGGCUCAACCUGAGGCGUGCGGUGGGUACGGGCAGGCUAGAGUGCGGUAGGGGAGAAUGGAACUCCUGGUGUAGCGGUGGAAUGCGCAGAUAUCAGGAAGAACACCGAUGGCGAAGGCAGUUCUCUGGGCCGUAACUGACGCUGAGGAGCGAAAGCGUGGGGAGCGAACAGGAUUAGAUACCCCAGUAGUCCCUGUCUCUUAUAC
rnacentral:rRNA from 1 species